rnacentral:rRNA from 1 species
UAAGACGGAGGGUGCUAGCGUUGUUCGGAAUUACUGGGCGUAAAGGGCGCGUAGGCGGCCGCUCAAGUCGGGUGUGAAAGCCCGGGGCUCAACCCCGGAACUGCACUCGAGACUGUGUGGCUGGAGAUCGGAAGAGGAGAGUGGAACACCCAGUGUAGAGGUGAAAUUCGUAGAUAUUGGGUAGAACACCGGUGGCGAAAGCGGCUCUCUGGUCCGAUUCUGACGCUGAGGCGCGAAAGCGUGGGGAGCAAACAGGAUUAGAUACCCUGGUAGUCCACGCCCUAAACGAUGUGCGCUGGACGUCGGGAGGCUUGCCUCUCGGUGUCGGAGCUAACGCGGUAAGCGCACCGCCUGGGGAGUACGGCCGCAAGGUUA